rnacentral:rRNA from 1 species
GAUGAACGCUGGCGGCGUGCCUAAUACAUGCAAGUCGAGCGAACGGACGAGAAGCUUGCUUCUCUGAUGUUAGCGGCGGACGGGUGAGUAACACGUGGAUAACCUACCUAUAAGACUGGGAUAACUUCGGGAAACCGGAGCUAAUACCGGAUAAUAUUUUGAACCGCAUGGUUCAAAAGUGAAAGGCGGUCUUGCUGUCACUUAUAGAUGGAUCCGCGCUGCAUUAGCUAGUUGGUAAGGUAACGGCUUACCAAGGCAACGAUGCAUAGCCGACCCGAGAGGGUGAUCGGCCACACUGGAACUGAGACACGGUCCAGACUCCUACGGGAGGCAGCAGUAGGGAAUCUUCCGCAAAGGGCGAAAGCCUGACGGAGCAACGCCGCGUGAGUGAUGAAGGUCUUCGGAUCGUAAAACUCUGUUAUUAGGGAAGAACAUAUGUGUAAGUAACUGUGCACAUCUUGACGGUACCUAAUCAGAAAGCCACGGCUAACUACGUG